CGCGAUUCAUGAAAAUGGGUCGUGAUACUUGAGCCAACAAGUACUUAUCAAAUUCUUUGUGAUCAUCCCCUAAUUCCAUCUCCAUAAAAAAAAACCUCAUUUCACAGUCAUAUUCCUUAGCAACAUCUCAUACCAAAUGGAUAGAGAAUCUCCACAUCCACACUGACGUCUUCCACCUCCACUUCAACAAUUAUUGCUUUCGAACUCUCCACCUCCACUGGUUUAAAUCAAAGUCUUAAAAUCUUCAGGAUAUGAGUUUAUGUGUGCUUGAAUUGCUGCCUCGAGUCCCAAAGAAUUUGCAAAAGCACUUAGGGAGAAUGGAAUCAAGCAGUUGCCACUUGCUCCACUGUAAACGAAAAUCAGUACAAGCAAUUUCCAACGAGAAAUUGAGGCAGGCGUCAAUUUUCAUACACAGUCCAUGCUUUAAAUGGUUCCCGAAGAUACUGAGACAAAAAACGAUCGUAUUUCAGCAAGGUGAUGUCUCCAAACCCCUAAAUUUUCCUACAGAUAAAAAACAACAAUUAAUAACCAUAACUCCCAAUCUAACUUUCAUAGUAUUUCAAACAUUAAAACUUAAACCAUCUAUGAAUCCUGAAGAAUAAACUGUAGUAUCCCGUGUUUUUUUGUUUGUUAUCGGCAUUGUUCCGUCACCGUGUUAAUCGUUUUCGUGUUCAUUUGACUCGUUUAGGUCCAUGUUCGGGCUUAGGUCCAGGUUCGUCGUCGCCGUUGGGCCAUGUGCAAGCUAGCAUGUAGGUUUAGGGCACGACGGAGGGCGCGACGAGGCCAUUGCGCCUCGCGUCACGCCCUAGGGUAAGUUGUAGGGCGCAAUGGGUCCAUCGCGCCUCUCAACGCGUCCACCAUCGUGCCUUGCUGUCAGUUUUUAUUUCGGGGUCUAUAAAUAGAUCCCUUAUCUGAUCUAAACCCUCCCCUUUCAUUUUCGCUAACCCUAGUUGACCAUAAUACAUAAAAUUCUCUAAGUUUGAUCAAUUGUUCACCAAUUCUUGUGAUUCUUAGACUCCGGUAAGUGAUUCGCUCAUCUUAUUUCUUAUGUAUUUGUUUGGUCUUGAUUUAUUUUGUUUUGUGGCUUAUGAAUCAUUGUUUUCCAGCAACCUUGUGAGGUUUUGGACAUACAAUUCUGAUUGGUUUCGUUCUUGUCAUGGUGUGGCGUUUUUAUCCGCUUAUCUUCAUUGCGUGAAUUGAUAUCAGAGUGGCGUCCAUUCAUUUUCUAGAAGGAUGAGAGGUAUAAUUUCACAUUUCAAAUUUAAAAAAUAUGAAUCAAAUACAUGUAAGCUAUAUACAUUAACUAAAAACUUAAGUUGAAGUAUGAACAAAAAAAAAAUCACCACUCUCAAAACCUCCACCAAGCAAAGCCCUAUAUACACAACUUUUUGAGGGUGGAAUUGAAAGUUUCCCCUGCAUAAAGAAUUUAAAUAAAAGUUUCGAUCCAAAAACAGAAACUAACAAAAGAAUUAAUGAUCCCUCUUAUAAUGAAGAACAUAUAUUCAAUAAGGAGAACUUAACCUGAAGGCAUAUUUUCCCUCUUUCCAAGUCCAACUUAGCCCCUGUCACUAGCCAAUGUCCGGGACUAUCUUGUGGCCCUCGACACAGCUCCGAAAUGUCGACAAACUUCAAAAGCUUCUGCGGUUGUGGAGGCGGUCCUGACGGAUACAGAGCAGAAUUAACUACAACAGCCUUCGGCGGUUUACUUUUCUCAGGGUUCGCUCCUGGUAUCGACGUGCUUAUGGAAGAAAGCAAUCCUGAGAAAUUCUGAGAAUAUCCUAAGGAGCCGUGGUCCCACUGAGACUUUGCGAUGAAAAAGUUUGAAACCCUCGAGUAUAAUAAUUGAAGAUGAAGGACAUUUUUCCAGCCAUGUUGCUUGACAUGAAGCUGAGCUCCUGUUACAAUGUAAGCUCCAUCUUUUGCCAUUGUCCAUUUUGGAUUGUAUUUUACAGGGGCUGUACAUACGUGAGAAAACCGUUUUUGGUAAAUUGCUUUAAUGAAUCCAAUGUCAUUACUUUCUUC